UAUAUUCCCUCAGUUUUAAACAGCCUGCCCACUGCUUUACUUCCAUAUGUGUGCCGCCCCCAGCAGAAACAGCGCUACUGCCCACUGUGAGCAAAAGGAGCAACAGCAAGGGGGCUGUAGCGCAAUAAUCCAAAGUGGAAGCAUUCACAUAUUGGUCCAACAUGUCUGAAGGGCCAAGUUGUUUCAGACAUUACGGUGUAAGGCGGUGAGCAGUGAGAGCACAGCACAGGCCGACAGACAAUGACCACUCUGUCUCACUGGAGCUCUGUGGCGGGAAAGCAGGAAG